ACUCAAAUGAAUUGACGGGGGCCCGCACAAGCGGUGGAGCAUGUGGUUUAAUUCGACGCAACGCGAAGAACCUUACCAAGGCUUGACAUCCAUAGAAUCCCGUGGAAACAUGGGAGUGCCCUUCGGGGAGCUAUGAGACAGGUGGUGCAUGGUUGUCGUCAGCUCGUGUCGUGAGAUGUUGGGUUAAGUCCCGCAACGAGCGCAACCCCUAUCUUUAGUUGCUAACGAGUAGUGUCGAGCACUCUAGAGAGACUGCCGGUGAUAAACCGGAGGAAGGUGGGGAUGACGUCAAAUCAUCAUGCCCCUUAUGUUUUGGGCUACACACGUGCUACAAUGGCCGGUACAGACGGUUGCGAAGCCGCGAGGUGGAGCUAAUCUGAGAAAGCCGGUCUCAGUUCGGAUUGUAGGCUGCAACUCGCCUACAUGAAGUCGGAAUCGCUAGUAAUCGCAGGUCAGCAUACUGCGGUGAAUACGUUCCCGGGCCUUGUACACACCGCCCGU
rnacentral:rRNA from 1 species